rnacentral:rRNA from 1 species
CAGCCGCCGCGGGAAUACGAAGGGGGCUAGCGUUGUUCGGAAUUACUGGGCGUAAAGCGCACGUAGGCGGAUAUUUAAGUCAGGAGUGAAAUCCCAGAGCUCAACUCUGGAACUGCCUUUGAUACUGGGUAUCUUGAGCAUGGAAGAGGUGAGUGGAAUUCCGAGUGUAGAGGUGAAAUUCGUAGAUAUUCGGAGGAACACCAGUGGCGAAGGCGGCUCACUGGUCCAUUACUGACGCUGAGGUGCGAAAGCGUGGGGAGCAAACAGGAUUAGAUACCCCAGUAGUCCCUGUCUCUUAUAC